GAUGAACGCUGGCGGCGUGCCUAAUACAUGCAAGUCGAGCGCACAGACGAGGCGCUUGCUGCUCUGACGUUAGCGGCGGACGUGUGAAUCACACGUGGAUAACCCCCCUAUCUGACUGGGAUCACUUCGGGAAGCCGGAUCUAACACCAGAUAAUAUAUUGUACCGCAUGGUUCAAUAGUGAAAGGCGGUUUUGCUGUCACUUAUAGAUGGAUCCGUGCCGCUUUGGCUAGUUGGUAUGGUAACGGGUUACCAAGGCGACGAUGCGUCGCCGACCUGAGAGCGUGAGAGGCCACACGGGAACUGUGAGACGGUCCAGACGCCUACGGGAGGCAGCGGGAGGGAAGUGUCGACAAUUGGAGAAAGGCUGACGGAGUAAUGCCGCGUGGCUGAUGAAGGGCUGCGGACCGUAAGGCUCUGUAACUAGUGAGGAAAAAAUGUGGAAGUAACUAUGCAUGUCUUGACGGUAGCUAGUCAGAAAGCCACGGCUAACUACGUG
rnacentral:rRNA from 1 species